rnacentral:rRNA from 1 species
UACGUAGGGUGCGAGCGUUGUCCGGAAUUACUGGGCGUAAAGAGCUCGUAGGUGGUUUGUCGCGUUGUUCGUGAAAACUCACAGCCUAACUGUGGGCGUGCGGGCGAUACGGGCAGACUGGAGUACUGCAGGGGAGACUGGAAUUCCUGGUGUAGCGGUGGAAUGCGCAGAUAUCAGGAGGAACACCGGUGGCGAAGGCGGGUCUCUGGGCAGUAACUGACGCUGAGGAGCGAAAGCGUGGGGAGCGAACAGG